rnacentral:tRNA from 1 species
GCCGAUGUAGCUCAGUUGGUAGAGCAGCCCUCUCGUAAGGGGCAGGUCGUCGGUUCGAUUCCGACCAUCGGCUCCA